rnacentral:lncRNA from 1 species
CGUUACACCCUUUCUUGACAAAACCUAACUUGCGCAGAAACCGAGAUGAGAUUGGCAUGGCUUUAUUUGUUUUUGUUUUUUUUUUUUUAAUUUUUGUUUUUAUUUUAUUUUGA